GCAGUCACCCCGUCGCCCUCCUUUCUCCGCCGUUCGAAGCGCGGUGCGCGGCUCGUCUCAAGGGGCCCGCGUCGGCGGCACUCGUGUCGUCGUGCGGGGGUUUUCUCAGGGUGGUGUCCGUCGCCGUGUGGAAGGCGGGUCGGUGGAGGGGAUCGGGUAUGGAGGUGGUGGCGGCGACUCUGGACGCGCGCCGGUGAUGGUCUUCCCAGCUACGGUGCCCGCUGGGCCCCGUUUGCGCGGGGUCCUGUUGGGUCGCCUCGGCUGGCACCUAGCAGCUGACUUAGAACUCAUGAGGACCGGGGGAGCCC